AAACUUUUCAGCUAGAGUAUGAUAGAGGAAAGCAGAAUUUCUAGUGUAGAGGUGAAAUUCGUAGAUAUUAGAAAGAAUACCAAUUGCGAAGGCAGCUUUCUGGAUCAUUACUGACACUGAGGAACGAAAGCAUGGGUAGCGAAGAGGAUUAGAUACCCUCGUAGUCCAUGCCGUAAACGAUGUGUGUUAGACGUUGGAAAUUUAUUUUCAGUGUCGCAGCGAAAGCGAUAAACACACCGCCUGGGGAGUACGACCGCAAGGUUAAAACUCAAAUGAAUUGACGGGGACCCGCACAAGUAGUGGAGCAUGUGGUUUAAUUCGAAGAUACGCGCAGAACCUUACCAACACUUGACAUGUUCGUCGCGACUCUAAGAGAUUAGAGUUUUCGGUUCGGCCGGACGAAACACAGGUGCUGCAUGGCUGUCGUCAGCUCGUGUCGUGAGAUGUUGGGUUAAGUCCCGCAACGAGCGCAACCCUCACUUUUAGUUGCCAUCAUUAAGUUGGGCACUCUGAAAGAACUGCCAGUGAUAAGCUGGAGGAAGGUGGGGAUGACGUCAAGUCCUCAUGGCCCUUACGUGUUGGGCUACACACGUGCUACAAUGGUAUCUACAACAGGAAGCAAGACUGCGAAGUUAAGCAAAUCCCUAAAAGAUACCUCAGUUCGGAUUGCACUCUGCAACUCGAGUGCAUGAAGCUGGAAUUACUAGUAAUCGUGGAUCAGCGUGCCACGGUGAAUGCGUUCCCGGGUCUUGUACACACCGCCCGUCACACCAUGGGAGUUGGUUCUACCUUAAGGCAAGGUUUCAAACCCUUGACCACGGUAUAGUCAGCGACUGGGGUGAAGUCGUAACAAGGUAACCGUA
rnacentral:rRNA from 1 species